UAUCGUACGACUACAGAGUAGAAAAAUUAUUUAUCGACUUCUAAAGUCGGUGUACGCUCUGUCUGGCUAUUUUAUCGGUUUAGGAAACGAGCAAGAACAGGCAGUGUGUCGGGUUGUUAAAAUUAACUAGCGCAGCCGACGGCCGAAGGCCGAGGCAAGCUCUGUUAUAACGGUUUGGGGAGCGAAAGAGAAUAGACAGCAUAGUCUGGUUGUCCGAUUAUUAAAUUUUUAAUUCAUUAAUUUAGUAUGUGGUAUGCUGUUGUGUGCAUAGUGCUCACCUUGUUGAUAUAGAAUGGGCAGGUGUGGUGGAUGGGAGGGCGAGUCCACAGGUGGCCAUGGAUUACGAGGUUUCUCGAGUCAGUCUCUCAGACAGAGCCGUGGAGUGUAGUGUAUUUUUUCCGGGCGGACAGACGUAACUUUUAUGCAGUGGCUGUGUAACCCAGGUGUCACCAUAACUCAUGACCGGAUCUGCCUCCGAUGCAUGGGGUCAUACGGAGAACUAAUUAGCUACACCGUUUAGUGUAUGUUCUCGUUUGUAGAGCGGACUGAUGCAGUGGCUGUAUAGCCCGGGUGUCACGGUAGCUCGACGGCCGGAUCUGCCUCCGAUGAAUGAAGAUAUACGGAGAACUAUUAGCUACACCGUUUAGUGUAUAUUCUCGUUUGUGAAGCAGACUGGCACAUGCAGUGGCUGUAUAGCCCGGGUGUCACGGUAGCUCGACGGCCGGAUCCGCCUCCGAUGCAUGGGGACAUACGGAGAACCGAUUUGCCACACCGUGUAGUGUAUAUUUCCGCUUGUAGAGCAGACUGGUGCGUGUGAAUUUUUUUCAAUUUUUAACACCAAGGUGUGUUGUGAUUUUUUAUAUCCGAUUAAUUGGAUGGGUUCGAAUGGCUAACGAUUCGAGACGUCUUCGUUAUAUACGACAAGAUAGCUCAAUG